AAUCUGGCUGAUCCUGCCAUAUGUCAUAUGCUUGUCUCAAAGAUUAAGCCAUCAUGUCUAAGUGUAAACAAUUAUCCGGCGAGACUGUGAAUGGCUCAUUAAAACAGUCAUAGUUUAUUUGCUAGACGUUUAUAUGGGUCGAUGUAGCAAUUCUCGAGCUAAUGCAUGCUGUUUAUGCUGCAUGCGCAGUAUUUAUUAGAUAAAACCCAACGGAGGCGACCCUGUGGAAGUAUCAUAAUAACUUAGCGAACUCGAUGUAGAGAAGCAUUCAAGUUUCUGCCCUAUCAGCUUUUGAUGAGUUUAUUGGACUACCAUGGCAAUGACAGUGAUGGAGAAUUAGGAUUCGAUUCCGGAGAGGGAGUCUGAGAAAUGGUAACCGCAUCUAAGGAGGUAGCAAGUGCGCAAAUUACUCAAUCAUACUUAGGGAGGUAGUGGCAAGAAAUAACAGCGCGAGGCUUUAUCUUGCAAUUGGAAUGAGUUAAGUGUAUAAGCAUUUUGAGUAUUCACUGGAGGGAAAGUCUGGUGCCAGCAGCCACGGUAAUUUCAGCUCCAAUAGUAUAUAUUAAAGUUGUUGCAAUUAAAAAACUCGAACUUGAAGCUUCGGGGCUAGUCGCUGACCUUCUGGCAUCCAUCUCAGCAACGGCUUCGGCAUUAACUUAUCGCUGUCGUGAUCAGGUACUUCAUCUUGAGCAAAUGGGAGUGUUUCAGGUAGGCUUGAACCUGAAUCGUCCAGCAUGGAGUAAUAGAAGAGACUGGGUUCCAUCUAUUGGUGUUAUAGCGCUUAGUAACGAUUAAUAGGGAUAGUUGGGGCAUUGUAUUUAAUUGUCAGAAGUGAAAUUCUAUGAUUUAUUAUGCGAAAGCAUUUGCCAAGGAUCUUUUCAUUAAUUAAGAACGAAAGCUAAGGGAUCAAAGAAGAUAAGAUACCGUCGAAGUCUUCACCAUAAACUAUGCCGACUAGAGAUUUAAGGUGUCAUUAAAAGUACCUUCUGAGAAAUCAAAUUCUUUAGGUUCUGGGGAGUAUUAUCGCAAAACUUAAACUUAAAGGAAUUGACGGAAGGGCGGCACAUAUGUUAAACAGUAACGCAGGUGUCCUAUGGCAAAAUCAAAG
rnacentral:rRNA from 1 species